GUUAGGAAAUGGUGAUAUAACUAU
rnacentral:sRNA from 1 species